GAGCGCGAGAAUGCAGUUCCGCGGCAGGUGCUCAUCCCAGCAGCUUCGGGCUCUCGGUUGUGGUUUUUACACCUAUGACAAAUGACAUGGCCAAACACACCAUAAUGUCUGAAGGUACAGGUAGCCCUAAGCGCCUGCUCGUCACGGAAGAGACUGUCUUGAGAGCACAGAGGAGCAGGAUGCAACCGACAGGCUGUGGCCGGACAGCUGCUGCCCAGCACAUGGAGCCUGCACGCGCACGGUUUGGCCAAAGAAGCCCCCAUACUCCCGGUGAAAAAGAUGGAGUCUUGCUCUGUUGCCCAGGCUGGAGUACAAUGAUGUGUUCUCAGCUCACUGCAACCUCCCUCUCCCAGGUUCAAGUGAUCUCCUGCCUCAGCCUCUGGAGUAGCUGGGAUUACAGAUUUCCAGAAGCUGUUCUGUCAAUAACAAAGUCUCAAAGAAAACCACAAAACCACCAACACUAAGAUCAUUCUUGAGUCCAAUUUGAAAAACUAGGGUCAAGUUCUGCAGAGGCAUUGAAAGGACAAGAAACCACCCUGAUACCCAUCGUGUGAGGGAAAAUGCUCUAUUCACCAUUCCUCAGCUUCUGCUUCUGGUUUCAGAGUUCUCUCUAUAUUGGAGGGUGUUUUAAAGCUAGAGUGGUCUUUAUCCACUUUUAUUAACACAUCUGAAUGUGAAGGUCAAGAGAGGAAAGUGAUAUGUCCUAAGUCAGAGUAGAGUCAACAAGAAAAUAAGACAAACAGCGACUGAGCCCCUGGUGUAUACUGGGCAUUGGCCAGCUACUGGGGAUAUGGAGAUGAAGAAAACAUAACCCUUCUUCAAGGAGCCCA
rnacentral:lncRNA from 1 species